rnacentral:misc_RNA from 1 species
AACAGAACAUCUUAUUCAAUUGGCUUCUCCAUUGGUUUAUCUUGGAGUUCCUGCGGCCCCUUGCCAGCAUCAUAAUCUUUGAAGUGCCUCUUCCAAAACCAAUGCUUCUUCCAUACUCUAUCAAUCAUUUCAUCAAUUGGGAUUCCUUUCGUCUCAGGGAGCAGGAAAAUGGCAAAAAGACCCAUAACAAGCAGCCAGAAAGCGAAGAAGAAGAAAAUCCCAGAUCGCAUAUGGCAUAGCAUGGUGAGAAAUGAUUGGCCAAUUAUGAAUGUAAAGAACAUGUUCAUGCUAACAGUAAUGAACAAAGCAGAACUUCGACUCUCCAGUGGGAAGGUUUCACUAGGAAUUAACCAGCCAAGAGGCCCCCAUGACCACGCAAAACCAGCCAAGAAUACACAGAUGAAGCAGAUAACAAUUACACAAUAAUGUUUUGGCACAGUAUUUGUGGUUUUCAAGUGUAAUGCAAGAAUUCCCCCAAUUGCACACUGAGAAAUGAGCAUUUGAAUGGCAGCUUCAACAAGCAAUAUCCUUCUUCCAACUCUAUCCACAAGUAAAAUUGCCACCACUGUGCAUAUUGGUUUAACAGUAUUAGCCACAACAGCUGAUAAUAGGGACGCAUCAUCUCCAAAGCCCAUAGUCAGAAAGAGGACAGGGGCAUAAAACAUGACUGCAGUGAUGCCAGUGAACUGCUGGAAGAACUGAAGAAGUGAGCCACAAAUAAGUUGAGGCCUAUUAUAUCGACUCACGAGGUUCCUGUAGGGGUGUUUAUAUUGAUUAGCCAAUUCAACAGCACUCAAAAUUUCUGCAUAUUCUUUAUCAACAUCAUCA